rnacentral:rRNA from 1 species
GGGGAAUAUUGGACAAUGGGCGAAAGCCUGAUCCAGCCAUGCCGCGUGUGUGAAGAAGGUCUUCGGAUUGUAAAGCACUUUAAGUUGGGAGGAAGGGUUUCUGGCUAAUAUCCAGGAAUUUUGACGUUACCGACAGAAUAAGCACCGGCUAACUUCGUGCCAGCAGCCGCGGUAAUACGAAGGGUGCAAGCGUUAAUCGGAAUUACUGGGCGUAAAGCGCGCGUAGGUGGUUCGUUAAGUUGGCAUGUGAAAGACCCGGGCUCAACCUGGGAACUGCAUCCAAAACUGGCGAGCUAGAGUAUGGCAGAGGUAUGUGGAACUCCGAGUGUAGAGGUGAAAUUCGUAGAUAUUCGGAAGAACACCAGUGGCGAAGGCGACAUACUGGCUCAUUACUGACGCUGAGGCGCGAAAGCGUGGGGAGCAAACA